GAAGGGGGCGAGCGUUGUUCGGAUUUACUGGGCGUAAAGGGCGCGCAGGCGGCUUUGUUUGUCAGGCGUGAAAGCCCCGGGCUUAACCUGGGAACUGCGCUUGAGACGGCGAGGCUAGAGAUCGGGAGAGGAGAGUGGAAUUCCCAGUGUAGAGGUGAAAUUCGUAGAUAUUGGGAAGAACACCGGUGGCGAAGGCGGCUCUCUGGACCGACACUGACGCUGAGGCGCGAAAGCGUGGGGAGCAAACAGGAUUAGAUACCCUGGUAGUCCACGCUGCAAACGAUGUGUGCUAGACGUUGGGGAGCCUAGCUCUUCGGUGUCGCAGCUAACGCUUUAAGCACACCGCCUGGGGAGUACGGCCGCAAGGUUA
rnacentral:rRNA from 1 species